AUCUAUAAAGUUUCUUCCCAUUACUAAAGAAAUAAGGCAAAAAGGAAAAACUAUCAAAAGUCAGAACAACAACAUGAGAAGAAGAAUCUCAAGCAAGCCAAUGUCUUUACAACCUUGCUUUCUUCUUCUUCUUCUCUUUCUCUUCCUCCUUCAAGAUCUUUGUCUUGUUCGAGCUUCCUCGACGCAUUCUUGCAAUGGCUCCAUAGCUGAGUGUGGUAGCGAGGACGAGAUUUUGAUGGAGUCGGAGAUAAGCCGAAGGUUUCUCGCUCAACAAAAGAAAUACAUCUCCAUUGGAGCUUUGAAGAAGGAUCACCCAGCUUGCGACGGCGCUAGUGGUGGCCGACCUUACACCAAAAGUGGGAGUUGUGCUCCACCACCGGCUAAUCCUUACGAUCGAGGUUGCCCUAAGAUAUAUCGUUGUAGGUCUGAUGAUUGAGGGUUUGAUCAAACCAUUAUAUGCUUGAAGGUUUUUGAAAUCGAAGCCCAAGAACAUCAAGGAUAAUUACCAAGUCAAG